UUGUGCUUUUUAAGAAUAUUUUUUAAUUGGGAUACUUUUAUAAUAACUUUAAUAGUAUUAUUAAUAUAGUGCAUAAAAUCAGUUGGAGUAGCAGAAGCAAUGUAGAUAAAAAAUCUGCAGGAAUAAUGUUUCAAAGCUUUCCAGAAGAUCCUGCGAAGAAGGCAUGAAGUAUUGAUCAGAUUUGUUAAUAGAGCAGUAUGUUCAAAACAUUUUUUAGAAAAAGA
rnacentral:lncRNA from 1 species